rnacentral:ncRNA from 2 species
AGACGCUAUAGAGGAGCUCUUAGUAAUAGUAUAUUAGUUUAGCAGGCAUGUGUUGAGACUAUAUAAAAAGGAUAUAAGAGCCGAACUGGUGAUUGUGGCGGCAAUUACUGGUGGUAACAAUGCAUAACAGUUUGUUACUCUUUGGACCUCAAACCAUUGGUGCUAUAGCUUUG